rnacentral:rRNA from 1 species
GUGGAUUAGAUACCCGAGUAGUCCACGCCCUAAACGGUGCACACUAGGUCUUGGCGGAUUCGACCCCCCCAGGGCCCAAGCUAACGCGUUAAGUGUGCCGCCUGAGGACUACGGCCGCAAGGCUAAAACUCAAAGGAAUUGACGGGGGCCCGCACAAGCGGUGGAGCAUGUGGCUCAAUUCGAUGCAACGCGAAGAACCUUACCUGGCCUUGACAUGCACUAGACCGACGCUGAAAGGCGUCCUCCCUUCGGGGCUGGUGCACAGGUGCUGCAUGGCCGUCGCCAGCU